UACAGAGGGGGCAAGCGUUGUUCGGAAUUACUGGGCGUAAAGGGCGCGUAGGCGGCCUUCUAAGUCGAACGUGAAAUCCCCGGGCUCAACCCGGGAACUGCGUCCGAUACUGGAAGGCUUGAAUCCGGGAGAGGGAUGCGGAAUUCCAGGUGUAGCGGUGAAAUGCGUAGAUAUCUGGAGGAACACCGGUGGCGAAGGCGGCAUCCUGGACCGGCAUUGACGCUGAGGCGCGAAAGCCAGGGGAACAAACGGG
rnacentral:rRNA from 1 species